rnacentral:rRNA from 1 species
UACAGGGGGUGCAAACGUUGCUCGGAAUUAUUGGGCGUAAAGCGCGCGUAGGCGGCUACUUAAGUCGGAUGUGAAAGCCCUUGGCUCAACUGAGGAAGUGCACCCGAAACUGAGUGGCUUGAGUACUAAAGAGGGUCGCGGAAUUCCCGGUGUAGAGGUGAAAUUCGUAGAUAUCGGGAGGAACACCGGUGGCGAAGGCGGCGACCUGGGUAGAUACUGACGCUGAGGCGCGAAAGCCAGGGGAGCAAACGGG